GACGUAGGGGGCCAGCGUUGUUCGGAAUUACUGGGUGUAAAGGGUUCGUAGGCGGUGUGGCAAGUCGGUAGUGAAAUCUCCAGGCUUAACUUGGAGGCUGCUGCCGAAACUGCCGUGCUAGAGUGCAGGAGAGGCGAGUGGAAUUACAGGUGUAGCGGUGAAAUGCGUAGAUAUCUGUAGGAACACCCGUGGCGAAGGCGGCUCGCUGGACUGCAACUGACGCUGAGGAACGAAAAGCUAGGGGGAGCAAAACAGGG
rnacentral:rRNA from 1 species